rnacentral:rRNA from 1 species
UACGGAGGGGGCUAGCGUUGUUCGGAAUUACUGGGCGUAAAGCGCACGUAGGCGGCUUUGCAAGUUAGAGGUGAAAGCCCGGAGCUUAACUCCGGAAUUGCCUUUAAAACUGCAUCGCUAGAAUUGUGGAGAGGUGAGUGGAAUUCCGAGUGUAGAGGUGAAAUUCGUAGAUAUUCGGAAGAACACCAGUGGCGAAGGCGACUCACUGGACACAUAUUGACGCUGAGGUGUGAAAGCGUGGGGAGCAAACAGG